UACAGAGGGGGCUAGCGUUAUUCGGAAUUAUUGGGCGUAAAGGGCGCGUAGGCGGCCAUGCGUGUCUUCCGUGAAAUCCCUCGGCUUAACUGAGGACGUGCGGAAGAAACUGCAAGGCUCGAGUCCGGGAGAGGGGGGUGGAAUUCCCAGUGUAGCGGUGAAAUGCGUAGAUAUUGGGAGGAACACCGGUGGCGAAGGCGGCCCCCUGGCCCGAUACUGACGCUGAGGUGCGAAAGCGUGGGGAGCAAACAGG
rnacentral:rRNA from 1 species